UACUUCUAAACAGCCGUUCGGCCAAGUUUCUGUGAGCUACAAGAAAUGAUGGUAUCUUUCAAUAAACAAUGAUUGGCGUUGCAUAAAGCAAGCGUAUGAAUGGAAUAUUGAGCUAUUAAAAAUAAUAUAAAUAUGCAAUUUCAAACGUUUUCGGCUUUUAAAAGUGGAACGUGGCACAUUUAAUCAACGUAAAUCAUUUUUUUUUUACCUAUAGAAGUUUACCCAAAAAUUGAUACCAAGUAUUAGCUUUAUUAACUAAUUACUUUUGGUAAAGCGGUAGAACCUAUUCGACGAAAUAUCAAUCAAAUUACCAAGUACGAUCUUGUCGCUCACUCAUUACCCAAAAAAUCAUAGAAAGGACGAUCCAAAUAUGUGUGCAUAUUGCUUAUAAUUAACUCGUUU